AAACAUGGGGUUUCAUUCGAUGCAAAACAAAGAACCUUACCAGAACUUGACAUACUACACAUCCUCUUCAAAGAGAGGGCCUUCAUUAACACGAAUACAGGUGGUGCAUUGCUAAUGUCAGAUUGUGCCUUUAGGUGUUGGUUUAAAUCCAUGAAUGAGCAUGACCACCAUUUUUAGUUUCAUCAUUGAUUUUAAAACUUUGAAUAGAAUGCUAGUGAUAAGUCGGAGGAAGGUGAGAAUCACAUCAAGUCGUCAUGUCUUUUAAGCUUGGGUGACACACGUGUUU
rnacentral:rRNA from 1 species